AUCUAGGCUCUUGCAUCGAUGAAGAACGUAGCGAAAUGCGAUACUUGGUGUGAAUUGCAGAAUCCCGUGAACCAUCGAGUCUUUGAACGCAAGUUGCGCCCGAUGCCAUUAGGUUGAGGGCACGUCUGCCUGGGUGUCACAUACUGAAGCCUCCUGCCAAUAUC
rnacentral:rRNA from 1 species